CUGUUAUCACCAUGUUCCGCUGACUCCCGUCAGCAGCAUGCCCAGGUAGCCACGAUCCUCAAGGCUACGACGCGGUUCCGCCGCGUUGAUCAUCCCAGUUCGCACCGGCAUCCAUGCGCGAACGCCCAUCGGCUUCCGAUGGGAUGC
rnacentral:ncRNA from 1 species